GCUCGUGUGGCGGAAUCGGCAGACGCAGCGGACUUAAAAUCCGCGGGAUCACCAUCCUUGCCGGUUCGAGUCCGGCCACGAGCACCA
rnacentral:tRNA from 1 species